rnacentral:tRNA from 1 species
GCCAGUGUGGCACAGUGGUUUGAGUGUUGGACUAUAUGCCUCUGAAGACCAGGGUUUGAUUCUCAGCUCAGCCA